AGUGGCGGACGGGUGAGGAACACGUGGGUGACCUACCCCCCGGUGAGGAAUACCGCCGAGAAAUCGGCGACAAGACCGCAUAGGCUCGCUCUGUUUGGAGACAGAGUGAGCAAAGCUUCUGUUCGUGAGAACAGAGGCGCCAGGGGAUGGGCCUGCGUCCGAUUAGCUGGUUGGUGGGGUAACGGCUCACCAAGGCUGCGAUCGGUAGCUGGUCUGAGAGGAUGAGCAGCCACACUGGGAUUGAGAACGGCCCAGACUCCUACGGGAGGCAGCAGUGAGGAAUUUUCCACAAUGGGGGCAACCCUGAUGGAGCAACGCCGCGUGCAGGAGGACGCUUUUCGGAGUGUAAACUGCUUUUCCCAGGGAAGAGUAUGGACGGUACCUGGGGAAUAAGCCCCGGCUAACUACGUGCCAGCAGCCGCGGUAAUACGUAGGGGACAAGCGUUGUCCGGAGUUACUGGGCGUAAAGCGCCCGCAGGCGGUCCGUCAUGUUUGCACCGACAGCUCCUGGCUUAACUGGGAGAGCGGUGCGAA
rnacentral:rRNA from 1 species